GACGAACGCUGGCGGCGUGCUUAACACAUGCAAGUCGAACGGAAAGGCCCUGCUUUUGUGGGGUGCUCGAGUGGCGAACGGGUGAGUAACACGUGAGUAACCUGCCCUUGACUUUGGGAUAACUUCAGGAAACUGGGGCUAAUACCGGAUAGGAGCUCCUGCUGCAUGGUGGGGGUUGGAAAGUUUCGGCGGUUGGGGAUGGACUCGCGGCUUAUCAGCUUGUUGGUGGGGUAGUGGCUUACCAAGGCUUUGACGGGUAGCCGGCCUGAGAGGGUGACCGGCCACAUUGGGACUGAGAUACGGCCCAGACUCCUACGGGAGGCAGCAGUGGGGAAUAGUGCACAAUGGGCGGAAGCCUGAUGCAGCAACGCCGCGUGCGGGAUGACGGCCUUCGGGUUGUAAACCGCUUUCGCCUGUGACGAAGCGUGAGUGACGGUAAUGGGUAAAGAAGCACCGGCUAACUACCUG
rnacentral:rRNA from 1 species